rnacentral:rRNA from 1 species
UACGGGGGGUGCGAGCGUUGUCCGGAAUCACUGGGCGUAAAGGGCGCGUAGGUGGUUUGAUAAGGGUGUGGUGAAAGCCCGGGGCUCAACCCCGGGUCUGCCGUGCCGACUGUCAAACUCGAGGGCUGUAGAGGCAGACGGAAUUCCGGGUGUAGCGGUGAAAUGCGCAGAUAUCAGGAGGAACACCGGUGGCGAAGGCGGAUCUCUGGGCCAUUACUGACGCUGAGGAGCGAAAGCGUGGGGAGCGAACAGG